rnacentral:rRNA from 1 species
GUACGGAGGGGGCAAGCGUUGUUCGGAAUUACUGGGCGUAAAGGGCGCGCAGGCGGCUGCUCAAGUCAGGCGUGAAAGGCCUGGGCUCAACCUGGGAAUGGCGAUGGAUACUGGCUCGCUGAGAGUGCGGUAGAGGAGAGUGGAAUUCCCGGUGUAGCAGUGAAAUGCGUAGAGAUCGGGAGGAACAUCAGUUGCGAAGGCGGCUCGUCUGGACCAGCACUGACACUGAGGCACGAAAGCGUGGGGAGCAAACAGG